rnacentral:lncRNA from 1 species
CUUUCAGCUUUCUCCACCCUCUAGUGGAUCAAGCUGUCCACUGGCCUCCACUCCUGUUAGCCUGAGCCUCAGAAGAAAUUAAAUGAGGCAGGGAGGCCAUGCGGUGAUCAUUCCAUUACGUUCUCUCUGUUCCCUUACCAUGUGUGAGUCACACUAUCACUUUUAGGAAGUGAGGCAUCUUAUGGAACCAAUAGUUAAUCUCAAGGUGGCAUGAAAGAAGGGCAAGGGGACGUGGCCGAAUUAUCCCUGAUCCUUAUGUUUGCAGAGACCCUCACUGGUGACGCCCCAAGUGGGGGACAGAUGAAUUGUGGGGAACCUUGACCCUGUUCCAGGUAAGCUUCUGAUUUAUGGUUCAUUGUGCUUUCUAACGAAUAAUUUUUACACAAUAAUUCCACCAGUAAGCACCAAACCUUCUUCUUGGGAAUGCAAUUAAGGGAAAAAUUAGCAAUAAAUUGUUUUCAGUACUUAACCCAGCUCCAAAUUUAUGGUUGCUGGAAUUUAUUGUUUCAGAGGCCUGAAAAAUGGCAAUUAAUUUUAUCCCAUUUCCUGUCAUUCACCCUCAAAAUUGAAAUGUAAAUAAAGAACCGUCCACGGUCUCCGGUUUUCCUGCUCUUUGCAAAGCUCCAGACUAAGCCCGUCCAGCCAGUUACCACUGCCUGCUCCUGAACCGUGGAAGCAGAGAGGGAAACACUCCUUCUCUCCAGGCAUCGCCUUUCCUUCUCCGGUUGCUGCUGAAGUGCACGCAGCUCUGAGGCGGUCUCGGUGCAGGGAUGUGCCUCACAGGAGAGAGUAAACGAGCAAACGCUAAGUUAGAUUCUGACGCCCAUGCUGGAUGUAUCCGUCUGCCCUAUAAAUAAGCACUGAUCACCUCCAUUUUAUUGAACUCAUUUUCCAGGCAAGCAAAGACCACAAGAUUCUUCUGCACAUUUUCUCUUUACACCCUCUAGUGCUGCCGCCAGUGUCAGCUCCGACAGAUUUAUAGCCCAUUCAUUCAUGGGAACAAAAACCCUGCCUGCCACGGCUGGUCAUGGGACCCGCAAUAGCAGUUAGUUCAAAAGAUAGCAGCUACAAUAGCUCACCUCUCCAUUCAGCGCUACACAGCCGCCACUACUUUGGAGGUAAUAAAUGCUUCUUGUUGUGU